UACGGGAGGCAGCAGUGGGGAAUUUUGGACAAUGGGCGCAAGCGUGAUCCAGCAAUGCCGCGUGUGUGAAGAAGGCCUUCGGGUUGUAAAGCACUUUUGUCCGGAAAGAAAACCUGUGCCCUAAUACGGCGGGGGGAUGACGGUACCGGAAGAAUAAGCACCGGCUAACUACGUGCCAGCAGCCGCGGUAAUACGUAGGGUGCGAGCGUUAAUCGGAAUUACUGGGCGUAAAGCGUGCGCAGGCGGUUCGUUAAGACAGAUGUGAAAUCCCCGGGCUUAACCUGGGAACUGCAUUUGUGACUGGCGGGCUAGAGUAUGGCAGAGGGGGGUAGAAUUCCACGUGUAGCAGUGAAAUGCGUAGAGAUGUGGAGGAAUACCGAUGGCGAAGGCAGCCCCCUGGGCCAAUACUGACGCUCAUGCACGAAAGCGUGGGGAGCAAACAGGAUUAGAUACCCUGGUAGUCCACGCCCUAAACGAUGUCAACUAGUUGUCGGGUCUUCAUUGACUUGGUAACGUAGCUAACGCGUGAAGUUGACCGCCUGGGGAGUACGGUCGCAAGAUUAAAACUCAAAGGAAUUGACGGGGACCCGCACAAGCGGUGGAUGAUGUGGAUUAAUUCGAUGCAACGCGAAAAACCUUACCUACCCUUGACAUGGACGGAACCUGGCUGAAAGGCCGGGGUGCUCGAAAGAGAACCGUCGCACAGGUGCUGCAUGGC
rnacentral:rRNA from 1 species